UGGGGAAUAUUGCGCAAUGGGCGAAAGCCUGACGCAGCGACGCCUCGUGAGGGAUGAAGGUCUUCGGAUCGUAAACCUCUGUCAAGAGGGAAGAAACCUUUGGAUUCGAACAGGGUCUAAAGCUGACGGUACCUCUAAAGGAAGCACCGGCUAACUCCGUGCCAGCAGCCGCGGUAAUACGGAGGGUGCAAGCGUUAAUCGGAAUCACUGGGCGUAAAGCGCUCGUAGGCUGUUUGGUAAGUCAGACGUGAAAGCCCGCGGCUUAACCGCGGAACUGCGUUUGAUACUGCCAGACUUGAGUGUCGGAGAGGGUGGCGGAAUUCCGGGUGUAGGAGUGAAAUCCGUAGAUAUCCGGAGGAACACCAGUGGCGAAGGCGGCCACCUGGACGACAACUGACGCUGAGGAGCGAAAGCGUGGGUAGCAAACA
rnacentral:rRNA from 1 species